rnacentral:misc_RNA from 1 species
GUUCAUGUACAAAUGCGAUGAGAUUAAACUAAAAACAGUAAUUGCAGGACUAAUUUCAAUGCACAGAUUAAGCUGGAAAUUGAGCCUAGGGUUUACAAUCAGCUAUAGAAUUUUUAAUUAGGACAUUGAAUUUGUCGUCUGAAAGCAGCAGGAAAAGAGUGCUACCCAUUUGGCCAUACUCAUAACUUAGAUUAGAAUAUUGAUUUUCCAGUUCCCCAAUUACCACUCUUUUUGAUACUGUGCAGCCUGUACUCCAAAGCUAGGACAGUAUACAAUUUUUUAACCAUUGCCAAAUUAAUUAAUGGUUGCCCUAGAUCUAGCUUCCCCUUCUCCAGCAUUUUCCUCUGUAGACAUGCAAGGGUUCAGCAUAUAUUAGUUUAAAAGGGGAACUAUUUUUUUAAUUGUUAAUUUAUGUUAUCUUGUUUGAGUUUGCACUUCAUAUAUUAGUGUGUCUUCUUAUAGUUUCCAUGUUAUAAAGUAGGAUUUUGGACUGAUUCUUGAGCCCUUCAUACAGAUUUGAGUAAAUUAUUCCAAUGAUAAUGAAUUUUGCUUCACAAAAUUUUAAAUUAAUUGCCAUAAUUUGGUCAUUUUUAUUGCAAUUAAAAUACCCAAUUCCAGUGAGAAACCCACCAGGAAUCUGAUGUAACAUUCAAUUUACUGUAGAAUUUUAUUAAGAAAAUUGAAGAUUAUAGUUUUUUUCAGUUGAAAAGCUGUUAGAUUAGUUUUUGAGGUUUUUUCUUUUGGUAUUGGA